rnacentral:rRNA from 1 species
AACGCACCUUGCGCCCCUUGGUAUUCCGAGGGGCAUGCCUGUUUGAGUGUCAUUAAAUUCUCAACCUUUACUAGCUUUUUGUGAGCUAUGUAAUGGCUUGGAUGUGGGGGUCUUUUUGCUGGCUUCGAAAGAAAUCAGCUCCCCUGAAAUAUAUUAGCUGGUGCCCCCGCGUGGACUGUCUACUGGUGUGAUAAUUAUCUAUGCCGUUAGAUGUCUGCUUUAAAUAAUGGGGAUGCGCUGCUUCUAAUCGUCCACUUAGGACAAUUAUUGACUAUUUGACCUCAAAUCAGGUAGGACUACCCGCUGAACUUAA